CCUACGGGCGGCAGCAGUAAGGAAUCUUCCGCAAUGGGCGAAAGCCUGACGGAGCAACGCCGCGUGGGCGAUGAAGGCCUUCGGGUCGUAAAGCCCUUUUCUGUGGGACGAUAAUGGCGGUACCACAGGAAUAAGCCACGGCUAACUACGUGCCAGCAGCCGCGGGAAUACGUAGGGGGCUAGCGUUAUCCGGAUUCACUGGGCGUAAAGAGCGCGUAGGCGGUGUGCUAAGUUGGACGUGAAAGCCCCCGGCUUAACCGGGGGAGGUCGUCCAAUACUGGUGCACUUGAGGGUGGACGGGGAAAGCGGAAUUCCCGGUGUAGUGGUGAAAUGCGUAGAUAUCGGGAGGAACACCCGUGGCGUAGGCGGCGUCCUGGCCGACACCUGACGCUGAAGCGCGAAAGCGUGGGGAGCGAACCGGAUUAGAUACCCUUGUAGU
rnacentral:rRNA from 1 species